rnacentral:lncRNA from 1 species
UAUUACUGGAUUGUAUGGCAUUUUUUUUACCAAGAAUUAUUAUUUAUAUCUUUUUAUUUAUUUAAAUACUGGAGAUUAACCCCAGGGCACUUUACCCAGUGUGCUAUAUACCCAGUCUCCAACACUUUUAUUUAUUUAUGUAUUUUUGAGAGAGGGUUUUACUGAGUUUCUUAAGACCUUGCCAAGUUCUUGAGGCUGGUCUUUAACUUGAGAAUAAACCUCUAGUUUUCUACCUCUUAUCCUCCUAAGCCACUGGGAGUACAGGCAUGUACGACCUUGCACUGCUACCCCAAAUUAUUACUAGUGGAUUAUGUGGCAUUUUUAUUUUGGCCUUUUAAAGAACCUUAACACUUUUAUAAAAAUAUAUUUAUUAAAUUUAUAUUGUCACCAACAUUUUUACAUAUUUGUGUACCCUGGAAUCCCUAUUAAUUAUGAGAUAUUUGCUUGGUUUUGUAUGGUUUGGUGCUGAGUAUUGAACCCAGGGGUGCAUACCACUGAGAUACAUCUGCAUUAUUUUUUAUGUUAUAUUUUGAGACAGGCUCUCAUUAAGUUGAUUGUAGCCUUGUUAUGUUAAUGAGGCUGUCUUUGAACUAAUAAUUCUCCUGUGUCAUUUUUCAUAGCUUCUAGAAUUUCAGGCAUAUGCCACCAUACAUAACAAUUUUAGAUUUUUAUAAUAGCCAUUCCAGCAUUACUGCAUAGGCUGCAGAAAAUUAGUAGUAAUUAAUAUUAAUAAUUUAAUUCUCAUACUUGUUAAAGUAUGAAACCUAUACUUUGAAAGCUAUGGCUAUAGCAAGUGAAAAAUAC